AACGAACGCUGGCGGCAUGCCUAACACAUGCAAGUCGAACGAGACCUUCGGGUGUAGUGGCGUACGGGCUCGUAACACGUGGGAAUCUGCCCUUUGCUUUGGAAUAACUGUUAGAAAUGACUGCCUAUAGCGGAUGAUGUCGAAAGACCAAAGAUUUAUCGGCAAAGGAUGAGCCCGCGUAGGAUUCGGUAGUUGGGGGGGUAAAGGCCUACCAAGCCGACCAUUCUUAGCUGGUCUGAGAGGAUGAUCAGCCACACUGGGACUGAGACACGGCCCAGACUCCUACGGGAGGCAGCAGUGGGGAAUAUUGGACAAUGGGCGGAAGCCUGAUGCAGCAAUGCCGCGUAAGUGAUGAAAGCCUUGGGGUUGUAAAGCUCUAUUACCAGGGAUGAUAAUGACAGUACCUGAAGAAAAAGCUCCGGCUAACUCCGUG
rnacentral:rRNA from 1 species